rnacentral:lncRNA from 1 species
GCUGAGCGCUAACUUCUAUUCCACCGAGGCAGACAGCGAAAACCAUUUCAGAACCAUGGCAAGGCAUGAGAGAAGCACAGACCAUUGUUGACCAUGAGUAAUUGAAACGAC